rnacentral:misc_RNA from 1 species
GAUGAAGAACGUAGCGAACGUGCGAAACGUAAUGUGAAUUGCAGAAUUCAGUGAAUCAUCGAAUCUUUGAACGCAUCUUGCGCUCCUUGGUAUUCCGAGGAGCAUGCCUGUUUGAGUGUCGUGAAUACUCUCAACUUCAACCAUUUUUUCGGAAAGGGAGGAAGGUUGGACUUGGGUGUUUGUUGAAGUGCGAGCUUCGACUCAUCCUAAAUGCAUUAGCGAUCUGCCUCGAUCACACACAAUGUGAUAAUUAAAACUAAAGCAUUGUUUAAUGAUCAAGUCGAGACUGCUUCUAACUGUCGCAAGACAAUAACGUGCAUACAUUUGUGCAUGUCAUUUGACCUCAAAUCAGGUAGGACUACCCGCUGAACUUAAGCAUAUCAAUAAGCGGAGGA